rnacentral:rRNA from 1 species
UCGCCUGUUUAUCAAAAACAUGUCUUCUUGAUAAGUGGUAAAUUUGAAGUUUGACCUGCCCACUGAUUGAAAUUGAAGGGCCGCGGUAUAUUGACCGUGCAAAGGUAGCAUAAUCAUUAGUCUUUUAAUUGAAGGCUGGAAUGAAUGGUUGGACGAGGUAUAAACUGUCUCAUAUUAAAUGGUUUAUAGAAAUUAACUUUUGAGUGAAAAGGCUCAAAUGAUUUUAAGGGACGAGAAGACCCUAUAGAGUUUUACUUCUUGUAGAGAAAUUUUAAUUAAUUUAGAGCGUUGAUUUAUUUAAAGUUGCUUGGAAGUUUUGUUGGGGUGAUGGAAAGAUAAGAAAAACUCUUUUUAUAAAUUUGACUUUGAUGAUAGGAGUGUUGAUCCUUUUUUAAAGAUUAUAAGAUUAAGUUACCUUAGGGAUAACAGCGUAAUCUUUUUUGAGAGUUCUUAUCGACAAAAAGGGUUGCGACCUCGAUGUUGGAUUAAGGUGAAACUUGGGUGUAGCAGUUUAAGUUUUAGGUCUGUUCGACCUUUAAAUCCUUACAUGAUCUGAGUUCAAACCGGAGA